GCCAGCAGGCACAUCACCCUGCAACUCACAACUGGCAACCCACAGAAACUAAGCAGGUGUGAGCCUGGUCAGUACCUGGAUGGUAGACAUCCUGGGAAAAACUAAGGUUGCUGCUGGAG
rfam:Lepisosteus oculatus linkage group LG14, whole genome shotgun sequence.